rnacentral:rRNA from 1 species
AGCGGCGGACGGGUGAGUAACGCGUGGGUAACCUGCCCUGUACACACGGAUAACAUACCGAAAGGUAUGCUAAUACGAGAUAAUAUGCUUUUAUCGCAUGGUAGAAGUAUCAAAGCUUUUGCGGUACAGGAUGGACCCGCGUCUGAUUAGCUAGUUGGUAAGGUAACGGCUUACCAAGGCGACGAUCAGUAGCCGACCUGAGAGGGUGAUCGGCCACAUUGGAACUGAGACACGGUCCAAACUCCUACGGGAGGCAGCGGUGGGGAAUAUUGCACAAUGGGCGAAAGCCUGAUGCAGCAACGCCGCGUGAGCGAUGAAGGCCUUCGGGUCGUAAAGCUCUGUCCUCAAGGAAGAUAAUGACGGUACUUGAGGAGGAAGCCCCGGCUAACUACGUGCCAGCAGCCGCGGUAAUACGUAGGGGGCUAGCGUUAUCCGGAAUUACUGGGCGUAAAGGGUGCGUAGGUGGUUUCUUAAGUCAGAGGUGAAAGGCUACGGCUCAACCGUAGUAAGCCUUUGAAACUGGGAGACUUGAGUGCAGGAGAGGAGAGUGGAAUUCCUAGUGUAGCGGUGAAAUGCGUAGAUAUUAGGAGGAACACCAGUUGCGAAGGCGGCUCUCUGGACUGUAACUGACACUGAGGCACGAAAGCGUGGGGAGCAACAGGAUUAGAUACCCUGGUAGUCCACGCCGUAAACGAUGAGUACUAGCUGU